rnacentral:piRNA from 1 species
GAGAACACUAGAACCCUGACGGUGAU